UGAAAAUUGUCCGUGUCGCGGCAGAAACGGAUGCCUGUUAAUUUCGGCGAUUUUCGUAAAUUCCUGAACGAACGUCCUUCCAAGCACUUUCAGGCUUCGCCGUCUUUGAAUUUGGAAGAAAAAUAAAUAAACGCCGGAGGAGGAAAAGAGUAUGAUAAAUCCAUUCUUAUUUACUGUUCGAUAUUUACUGUUCGAUAAUUGAAAAUACUACGCUCGAUGUUUGACGAAUAUCUCAAUGGUCCAAGUGAAAGAUGAGCCACUGGAUCGAAAGAUGUCAAUACUUAGAAGAAGGCUUAUCUGGCUUGGUAUAUUUAUUCUAAUACAUUUGUGGUGCCGGUUUCCUAUGCUAAAAAUCAGUGAGGUAGAACGCUCGUGGAUUGAUUAACAACCAGUUGGAAUAUAUUAAUCGUGAUGGAAAUACCACGAUAUGCAAAAAGAACUUGUCAAAGACAAAC
rnacentral:misc_RNA from 1 species